rnacentral:rRNA from 1 species
AGUGAACGCUGGCGGUAGGCCUAACACAUGCCAGUCGAACGGCAGCACAGUAAGAGCUUGCUCUUACGGGUGGCGAGUGGCGGACGGGUGAGGAAUACAUCGGAAUCUACUUUUUCGUGGGGGAUAACGUAGGGAAACUUACGCUAAUACCGCAUACGACCUACGGGUGAAAGCAGGGGAUCUUCGGACCUUGCGCGAUUGAAUGAGCCGAUGUCGGAUUAGCUAGUUGGCGGGGUAAAGGCCCACCAAGGCGACGAUCCGUAGCUGGUCUGAGAGGAUGAUCAGCCACACUGGAACUGAGACACGGUCCAGACUCCUACGGGAGGCAGCAGUGGGGAAUAUUGGACAAUGGGCGCAAGCCUGAUCCAGCCAUACCGCGUGGGUGAAGAAGGCCUUCGGGUUGUAAAGCCCUUUUGUUGGGAAAGAAAAGCAGCAGGUUAAUACCCCGCUGUUCUGACGGUACCCAAAGAAUAAGCACCGGCUAACUCCGUG